rnacentral:rRNA from 1 species
AAAGAAACUAACAAGGAUUCCCCUAGUAACGGCGAGUGAACCGGGAAAAGCUCAAAUUUGAAAUCUGGCUGUCUUCGAUAGUCCGAGUUGUAAUCUAUAGAAGCGUUUUCCGUGCUGAACUGUGUCUAAGUCCCUUGGAACAGGGUAUCAAAGAGGGUGAUAAUCCCGUACUUGACACAACCAUCAGUGCUCUGUGAUACGUUCUCUACGAGUCGAGUUGUUUGGGAAUGCAGCUCAAAAUGGGUGGUAAAUUCCAUCUAAAGCUAAAUAUUGGCGAGAGACCGAUAGCGAACAAGUACCGUGAGGGAAAGAUGAAAAGCACUUUGGAAAGAGAGUUAAACAGUACGUGAAAUUGUUGAAAGGGAAACGAUUGAAGUCAGUCGUGUUCAUUGGAUUCAGCUAGUUCUUCUAGUCUACUUCCUUUGAACGGGUCAACAUCAGUUUUGUCCGGUGGAUAAAGGAUUUAGGAAUGUGACUCCCUCGGGAGUGUUAUAGCCUAGGUUCACAUACACUGGGUGAGACUGAGGACUGCAGCUCGCCUUUUGGCCGGGGUUCGCCCACGUUCGAGCUUAGGAUGUUGACAUAAUGGCUUUAAACGACCCGUCUU